rnacentral:rRNA from 1 species
UGGGGAAUAUUGCACAAUGGGCGCAAGCCUGAUGCAGCCAUGCCGCGUGUGUGAAGAAGGCCUUCGGGUUGUAAAGCACUUUCAGCGAGGAGGAAGGUGGUGAGCUUAAUACGCUCAUCAAUUGACGUUACUCGCAGAAGAAGCACCGGCUAACUCCGUGCCAGCAGCCGCGGUAAUACGGAGGGUGCAAGCGUUAAUCGGAAUUACUGGACGUAAAGCGCACGCAGGCGGUUUGUUAAGUCAGAUGUGAAAUCCCCGGGCUCAACCUGGGAACUGCAUUUGAAACUGGCAAGCUAGAGUCUCGUAGAGGGGGGUAGAAUUCCAGGUGUAGCGGUGAAAUGCGUAGAGAUCUGGAGGAAUACCGGUGGCGAAGGCGGCCCCCUGGACGAAGACUGACGCUCAGGUGCGAAAGCGUGGGGCAGCAAACAGGAUUAGAUACCCUGGUAGUCCAGCGCUGUAAACGAUGUCGAUUUUGGAGGUUGUGCCCCUUGAGGCGUGGCUUCCGGAGCUAACGCGUUAAAGUCGACCGCCUGGGGGAGUACGGCC